ACGGUGCUUUUUAGAAGUGCUUUGCUAUACUAGGGGCUGUUAAUUAUCUGAACUGAUAAUUAGGGACUACCGCAAUCCUAAGCUCCUAGUUUUGCU
rfam:Neisseria elongata subsp. glycolytica ATCC 29315, complete genome.